rnacentral:rRNA from 1 species
GUCUCCUUUGACUAAUCAGUGAAACUGAUCUUCCGGUUAAAAAGCCGAAAUAAACACAUAAGACGAGAAGACCCUGUGGAGCUUUAAAUUCUAACCAAAACAUGCUAACACAGCACACCAUCAAUGGCUAACAAUUUUAAGUUGGGGCGACUUCGGAACUAAGAAAAACUUCCGAGCAUAAAGAGUACUACUCUAACCUAGACCAACAAGUCAAAGCAAAUAUUGACCCAGUACCACUGAUCAACGAACCAAGUUACCCCAGGGAUAACAGCGCUAUCUUCUUCAAGAGUCCAUAUCGACAAGAAGGUUUACGACCUCGAUGUUGGAUCAGGACACCCAAAUGGUGCAGCAGCUAUUAAAGGUUCGUUUGUUCAACGAUUAACAGUCCU